AAUGAACGUUGGCGGCGUGGAUUAGGCAUGCAAGUCGUGCGAGAAGCCUUCCUUCGGGGAGGUGGACAGCGGCGAAAGGGAGAGUAACGCGUGGAUACCAACCCCCGGGUUCGGAAUAGCGGCGGGAAACUGCCGGUAAUGCCGGAUAAUAUCUCCGGAUCAAAGCUUCGGCGCCUGGGGACGGGUCCGCGUCCUAUUAGCUUGUUGGCAGGGUAAUGGCCUACCAAGGCUUUGAUGGGUAGCGGGUGUGAGAGCAUGACCCGCCUCACUGGGACUGAGACACUGCCCAGACACCUACGGGUGGCUG
rnacentral:rRNA from 1 species